rnacentral:rRNA from 1 species
AAAACUUUCAACAACGGAUCUCUUGGUUCUGGCAUCGAUGAAGAACGCAGCGAAAUGCGAUAAGUAAUGUGAAUUGCAGAAUUCAGUGAAUCAUCGAAUCUUUGAACGCACAUUGCGCCCGCCAGUAUUCUGGCGGGCAUGCCUGUUCGAGCGUCAUUUCAACCCUCAAGCACAGCUUGGUGUUGGGACUCGCGUUAAUUCGCGUUCCUCAAAUUGAUUGGCGGUCACGUCGAGCUUCCAUAGCGUAGUAGUAAAACCCUCGUUACUGGUAAUCGUCGCGGCCACGCCGUUAAACCCCAACUUCUGAAUGUUGACCUCGGAUCAGGUAGGAAUACCCGCUGAACUUAAGCAUAUCAAUAAGCGGAGGAAAAGAAACCAACAGGGAUUGCCCUAGUAACGGCGAGUGAAGCGGCAACAGCUCAAAUUUGAAAUCUGGCUCUCGGGCCCGAGUUGUAAUUUGUAGAGGAUACUUUUGAUGCGGUGCCUUCCGAGUUCCCUGGAACGGGACGCCAUAGAGGGUGAGAGCCCCGUCUGGUUGGAUGCCAAAUCUCUGUAAAGUUCCUUCAACGAGUCGAGUAGUUUGGGAAUGCUGCUCUAAAUGGGAGGUAUAUGUCUUCUAAAGCUAAAUACCGGCCAGAGACCGAUAGCGCACAAGUAGAGUGAUCGAAAGAUGAAAAGCACUUUGAAAAGAGAGUUAAAAAGUACGUGAAAUUGUUGAAAGGGAAGCGUUUAUGACCAGACUUGGGCUUGGUUAAUCAUCUGGGGUUCUCCCCAGUGCACUUUUCCAGUCCAGGCCAGCAUCAGUUUUCCCCGGGGGAUAAAGGCGGCGGGAAUGUGGCUCUCUUCGGGGAGUGUUAUAGCCCACCGUGUAAUACCCUGGGGGGGACUGAGGGACGCGCUUCGGCACGGAUGCUGGCGUAAUGGUCAUCAAUGACCCGUCUUGAAACACGGACC